AACGCACAUUGCGCCCCCUGGUAUUCCGGGGGGCACACCUGUUCGAGCGCCAUUUCUACCCUAGAGCCCUGCUCUGUGAUGGGCCCCGUCCUCGCGGACGGGCCCGAAACCCGUGGGCGCCGUCGUCCGGCCCUGAGCGUAGCAAGAGAAAUCCCUCGCUCGGAGUGUCUGAUGGUGGCCGCCCCGACCUAUUUUUACAAGGUUGGCCUCGGAUCAGGUGGGGAUACCCGCUGAACUUAA
rnacentral:misc_RNA from 1 species